rnacentral:rRNA from 1 species
UACGAAGGGGGCUAGCGUUGCUCGGAAUUACUGGGCGUAAAGCGCACGUAGGCGGAUCGUUAAGUCAGGGGUGAAAUCCCAGAGCUCAACUCUGGAACUGCCUUUGAUACUGGCGAUCUUGAGUCCGGAAGAGGUGAGUGGAACUCCUAGUGUAGAGGUGGAAUUCGUAGAUAUUAGGAAGAACACCAGUGGCGAAGGCGGCUCACUGGUCCGGUACUGACGCUGAGGUGCGAAAGCGUGGGGAGCAAACAGG